AGCAGCCGCGGUAAUUCCAGCUCCAAUAGCGUAUAUUAAAGUUGCUGCAGUUAAAAAGCUCGUAGUUGAAUUUCGGGACUAAUAUGUCGGUCGUGCCUCGGUACGUACUGGUUUAUUGGUUUCUCCUUUCCGAAGAACCAUGAUGUCAUUUAUUUGGUGUCGUGGGGAAUCAGGACUGUUACUUUGAAAAAAUUAGAGUGUUUAAAGCAGGCUCACGCUUGAAUACAUUAGCAUGGAAUAAUGAAAUAGGACGUUUGAUUCUAUUUUGUUGGUUUCUAGGAUCGACGUAAUGAUUAAUAGGGAUAGUUGGGGGCAUUAGUAUUCAAUUGUCAGAGGUGAAAUUCUUGGAUUUAUUGAAGACUAACUACUGCGAAAGCAUUUGCCAAGGAUGUUUUCAUUAAUCAAGAACGAAAGUUAGGGGAUCGAAGACGAUCAGAUACCGUCGUAGUCUUAACCAUAAACUAUGCCGACUAGGGAUCGGAUGAUGUUAAUUUUUUAAUGACUCAUUCGGCGCCUUACG
rnacentral:misc_RNA from 1 species